GACCACGUAGCUCAGUUGGCAGAGCAUUGGGCUAGUAUUCCAAAGGUCGUAGGUUCGAUUCCCACCAUGGCUG
rnacentral:tRNA from 1 species